rnacentral:lncRNA from 8 species
AUGUCUCACUCCAUGUUCAAGAAUGGCCUUUUUCCCUUUAUUCAGAUUACAACCGCUCACUUUCAGUUAUUUGAAAAUGAAAUAAUCUCCAAAACAUCAAUAUUUUGUAAACAAGCCAUAGAAAGUUGGUUGCAAUUUCAGUUUAAUCCACCUGAAAAGACAGAACAAAUAAUACAACAAAUAUUGUGGUUAAACUCAAAUAUACUAACUGAUAAAAAAACGUUAUUUUUCACUAAAAUGUUUAAAAAAGGUAUAAUCUUUGUAAAUUAUAUAAUAAAUAGGACAGGUGGAGUUAUGUCACACAUGCAGCUAACACAGACAUAUGGAAAUUACAAACAACUAAUUGCAGCAUUACCAAAAAAAUUGAAGAGGCAAGUGGAAGGGGGAAAAACUAAGGAACUUGUCUGUCGGCCCUGCAUUAAAGACCAAAAUUGGUUAAAGAAAAUUGUGAUAAAUAAAAAUAUUUACCAGUUUCAUUUAAGGACUAAAGAAUUGACAGCUGUGCCAUAUAAAUUCCAAAAUAGUUGGGAAGAGAUUUUCGAUGUACCGAUUCCAUGGCACAUGGUUUAUGAAUUGACAUGCAAAACGACACCCGAUUCAAAACUUAACAUUUUUCGAUUUAAAUUAUUAUACAAAAUUCUUGCAACCAAUAGAAUGUUUUAUAUAUGGGGGAUACAAUCUUCCCAGCUCUGCAGAUUUAGCUGCAAGGAGGCAGAGUCAUUAGAUCAUUUAUUUUGGUACUGUCCAUAUGUAGCUCGUUUUUGGUCACAGGUCCAGGAAUGGCUGAAGAAUUGCAACAUUUACCUAGAACUAACGCUGCAGAUAGCAAUACCAGGUGAUUUGAAAAGUCAUAGUCAAUCGAUCAAUAAUAUAAUAAUUAUUUUAGCAAAAUUAUUUAUCUUUAAUUUACAAUCUGUAGAAGCUAUGAGAAUAGAAAGGUUCAGUACUUUUGUGAAGCAUCACAGCACAGUACAUCACAUCAUAGCACAGAAAAAUAUAUGUCAAAUAGAAAUCCAAUAUAGAUGGUGUUAA